CGGACAAGUAUUACUGCCCACACAAAGUUGUUUAGAUAAUUUUUUAAGCAUAAUGAAUAAGUCACUGAAAAUUUUUAAGACAGAAAGUGAUUCAAGUUGCAUUUUUUAAAUACCAUUUUCAUCCCUGUUCAACACUAAAAAAAUCCCUUACCAGUUGUGUGGCCUUAGGAACAAUGAAAAGAAGAAACUAAGAGAGAAACGGCAUGUGCAUUUAACUACCAGAAAGGACUCUUUACAAACUGGAUCAAAAUGAAAACUACCCUCCCUAGAAGAAGAACUCCAUUUUGAAACUGAUUUGGUAUCCUGGGAUUUUAUGUUACUGCUGAGUUGUACUGGCCAGAAUACCAGGAGGCUAUGGCGAUCACAACCACACUUCCUACUGGAUUUCCCUACAGUUGAAGUGAACAGCUGGUGAGGCCCAUCUUGAAACAUUUCCUAACCCAAAAUAUUCAUUUAGAAGGGAUCCAGCGCCUGGUAGAUACUCAAUAAACAGUAACUAUUGUUACUAAUUUUUCCAUAUUUAGAAAUUCCCGAGCUAAAUAAAUUUCUUGGUAUUGUCAUAGAUAUCUAGAGUAGGCAGAUUUCAUCUGAAAAAUAACACUCAGAAUUAGAGGCCUUGCAGAGAUAAAGCUAUAAGAGAAAUUAUCACAGUUAUGGGAAAUAGCACAGACAUCUAACCAUAAUAGGAGAUUGAUUACUUUUGAUAGUUGAGCCACACAAUGAUACUAUGCAGACAUAAAAAUAAUUAUAUAACACGAUAAUGACAUGGAAAAACAAUCAUAAUUUACUAUUAACUGAAAAAAAAAAAUAGGUAAUACAUCUUUGUGGAGUUAAAUGGCCAGCCCAGAGUUAUAAAACUACUUCGAAAAAGCACCAGGAAAUAACCAAGAUUCAUCCAUACCCAAACCGUGUUCACACUAUUGUGUCACAUUAAAACCCCAAAAUUCAAGUUUGGAGUCCCCAAAUAAGCUAUAAUAUCCACUGCCUUGAAUUAAGUGAAGACUUAGUAUAAAUUUCCAGGCAGAUAUUUUUAAAGGCUUUAUAAAAACAAAGGAAUGCUGAAAGUAUGUUUUUGGCAUCUUAAAAGAAUCCUGCCUGAACAGUAUGUCUCAAGGCCUAGAGACUUCCUAAUAUUUGAAAAAUUAAAGACUUCCUUUUUUUCCAGAAAUACACUGAAUGAUACCUUCAGAGCAAGGUAUAUGUACUGUGGGAUUAUGUGCAGGGCACUUAAUCAUAAGGGGCCAAAAUUAUAGUCUAUAAAGGGUAAGAUUUGGAGCAGAUAUUCUAUAAAAUCUUCUAGCUUCCUGGGUUAAGAUUUAAAAAUACAGCCCUUACACCUAUGUACCCAUAAAAAUUAAAUUAUUAAAAAAUAAAAAUAAUAAAUAAAAACAUAGCUUUCUGAGUAAAGAUGGAGAAACACAGGCUUUAUAUUUAGACAGACUUGGUUUUUAAUUCUAACCAGAGCCCCUGUAUUAGUCCAUUUUCAUGCUGUUGAUAAAGACAUACCCGAGACUGGGCAACUUACAAAAGAAAGAGGUUUAAUAGGACUCACAGUUCCACGUGGCUGGGGAGGCCUCACAAUCAUGGAGGAAGGCAAGCAGGAGCAAGUCACAUCUUAUGUGGACGACAGCAGGCAAACAGAGAGCUUGUGCAGAGAAACUCCUGUUUUCGAAACCAUCAGAUCUCGUGAGACCCAUUCAGUAUCACCAGAACAGCACGGGAAAGACCCGCCCCCAUGAUUCAAUCAUCUCCCACCGGGUUCCUCCCACAACACUUGGGAAUUAUGGGAGCUACAAGAUGAGACUUGGGUGGAGACACACAGCCAAACCAUAUCAGCCUCCAUUACCUUAUACAGCACCUCUGUGUGAAUUAAUAAGCUCUCCCCUCAAGGUAGACACAACUCUGUAGGCACAUGUAGACAGCCUUUGGGAGAACAAAGUCCCCCUUCCUUGGGAAAAGACAGUCCCAAGCAAGGGCUCCAGGUUUAGUUAGCAGAUCAUACGCUGGAUUCUAGCUCCCAUUACCUCCCUCGGUAUGCAUCCUUGUGCACUGUGCAACCACAAGCCUCCUUUGAAAUGGAGGCUCCAGGCCCAGUGCAGGCCCACAGUUACUAAAGCUCGAAGUCAAACUAUCAAGAGGAAAAGAUAAUAGAGCUGGACUGAAAUUUAGUAGUCACUACUCCGUUGAUGCCUUCUCAUGAUGUUAUAGCUGUUAAGUGCUAAUGGAUGCCUGCUACUUGAGAACCCUGGGAGAAAUAUUAUUAAUGAUUACAGAAAUAGAGUGUAUGCUUUCCUCAAUUUGAUACUUAAAACACAAAUUCCUCUCAUGGAAUGAAAUUGGGAACCCUUGC
rnacentral:lncRNA from 1 species